AUACGUAGGGGGCAAGCGUUAUCCGGAUUUACUGGGUGAAAGGCACUGGCUUAACCAAUGUCAGCCCCCUGAACUGGGCUACUUGAGUGCAGGAGAGGAAAGUGGAAUUCCUAGUGUAGCGGUGAAAUGCGUAGAUAUUAGGAGGAACACCAGUGGCGAAGGCGACUUUCUGGACUGUUACUGACACUGAGGCACGAAAGUGUGGGGAGCAAACAGGAUUAGAUACCCUGGUAGUCCACACCGUAAACGAUGAGCACUAGGUGUCGGGGGAGCAAUCCUUCGGUGCCGCAGUUAACGCAUUAAGUGCUCCGCCUGGGGAGUACGUACGCAAGUAUGAAACUCAAAGGAAUUGACGGGG
rnacentral:rRNA from 1 species